rnacentral:rRNA from 1 species
AGGUCUCCGUUGGUGAACCAGCGGAGGGAUCAUUACUGAGUUUACGCUCUAUAACCCUUUGUGAACAUACCUAUAACUGUUGCUUCGGCGGGUAGGGUCUCCGUGACCCUCCCGGCCUCCCGCCCCCGGGCGGGUCGGCGCCCGCCGGAGGAUAACCAAACUCUGAUUUAACGACGUUUCUUCUGAGUGGUACAAGCAAAUAAUCAAAACUUUUAACAACGGAUCUCUUGGUUCUGGCAUCGAUGAAGAACGCAGCGAAAUGCGAUAAGUAAUGUGAAUUGCAGAAUUCAGUGAAUCAUCGAAUCUUUGAACGCACAUUGCGCCCGCCAGCAUUCUGGCGGGCAUGCCUGUUCGAGCGUCAUUUCAACCCUCAAGCUCUGCUUGGUGUUGGGGCCCUACAGCUGAUGUAGGCCCUCAAAGGUAGUGGCGGACCCUCCCGGAGCCUCCUUUGCGUAGUAACUUUACGUCUCGCACUGGGAUCCGGAGGGACUCUUGCCGUAAAACCCCCGAUUUUCCAAAGGUUGACCUCGGAUCAGGUAGGAAUACCCGCUGAACUUAAGCAUAUCAU